UUCGCAGGCGGGAAACGUAUUGGAUGUGCUCAAAUGUUUACCCAGUUUAAACUGUUUUCAUAUCUAACCACUCAGCACCCUCUAGUGGCUCCAGGCUAAAUCACACAGCGUCUUUGUAAGUGACGUAAUUGUUUUCAACUUUAAAGCGUUAAUGUAGUUUCCAUAACAUCCAUCGCCUACGCCGCUUAUCCUUGCUAGGGUAGCGGGUAUGCUGUACCCUAUCCCAGCAAAAUUUCUGGCUCCAGCACAGAGUAUGGCUAUAUCGAUUACCACGGAAUUAAUACAGCACUAUCCGAAUGUGUCCCACAAGAGGGUGGCCUUCUGGACUACGUCAUGUGAACCGAGACCCUCCCAACUAUGCUUUCUCUGGUACAUCUGGUGAAGAUCCUCCACGCACGGCCUCAGCUCCUCCACAGUGUAGCCUGUCUUCUCCACCAAGGGUUUGGGCUGCAACACAAACCGCCAGGGUGGCGUUGGCCAGGAUGUAGGCGGCCGCGGCGGUCUGAGAUGGAAGGUACUUUAAGAACGGAUCAGAAUCCACCAGGCUGAGCUCCCCCAGGUACUAAACACAGAAGUUAACAUUUCACUGACAUUUGUUCAUAUGUUUGCCUUUUAAGCUACAUGAGAAGUCUUCCGAAUUUGACUUGAGGCACACGAGUGUUAAUUGGUUCCAGGCCCAAGUGUGAUAAUUGAACUUCUACAAAAGUAGGAUUCCUUAUUUAAUAUUUUUGUACUUUGAGCAUUGAACGCCUGUGACCUACUGUAAUAGUUCAUUAGGGCCUUUAGAGAAAACAUUCACCUUUGCCCUCUUACUACCCAAUUAGUACACUCACCUUAUUGGGACUCUAAGCCAUUUUCCUGGGGUGCUGUAACAUUACUGACACCUUGUGUCCAGUUUGAAUUCUACAUGUCCUAAUGCAUUUUCUGAAUGGCUUAUGUGUCAUUUAGCCAUUUUUAUUCCUUAAAACACUUCAUAGGCCUUAAAUAUGCAUUGACCAAUGGUCGUAGUCAGCCACAACACAGCAAUGAAUACAUUUUGAAAAGAGUGAUGAGUGAGGCCACGGAAUUCUAAGAGUGGCGACUGCAUUUAAAAAGGGGGGUGGGCUUGCUCACUUCCCAGGUAGCAUGUGAGCAUAGCAAAAGAAUACUUGCACCUGUACCAUAAAAAGUUUCAAAAUUUUAUAUUUAAGACUAAGUUUAUUGAUCAAGCAUCAACACAAAGUUAGUCUUUGUAAUUGAGCCACGUGUGACUGGUCACAAUGUGGUCGGUUGUUGCUCAAGACAACUUACCUGGCUGCCAUUUUAUAUAUUUGUGAUGUGUCACGUAAAUAGAAUUGGCCUUUUGUCUACUUGGUGGGUUCAAAUAUAUUUACCAAUCUGUUCCAUGAGCAUAAAAGCCAUAAAUUUGAUGCAUUUUCUUUUUGGUAAUAUAGCAGAAAAGUCUGAGAAGUCAUUUGGGAGGUGAAAGAACCAUUAAUCCAAGUAUGGUGAUGUGUUUACUACCAUGACUCUGGAUAUUGAUCAAAUCUUGUUCAUGUGAUUCAUUAUGCACAUUUUUAGUUUGGUCUGCUUGUGCCAAGUUUUUAAAUUUGGUAAAAAUCAGUAUUAAAAAAGGUAAUUUGAGGGCAUGUCACAAAUUCACAUUUUAGCAAGUUCUGUUGAGAACGUUAGGUGCGUGCAUUGAGGGCCGGGCCAGAGUCUCACCAUGGCGAGGCUUCGGGCCUGCUCGCCGAUGCUGUGAUGCAGGAAGUACUGCGUGAGGAACUGGUUGAUGGUGGGCGCCGCCAGGUCAAAGGAGAGCACCUUGAGCACCAGCUGUUCCAUUCUCAGCACCUGCUUCUUGGUGUACGUGUCGUCUGUGAUGUACACGAACUCCGACACUUCAGGCGGGUAGAUCUCCUCGAACUUGCUGCAUUUUAGCAAACAAUGAAGCGUUAGAUGAGUUUUAUUUAAAAAAAAAAAAAAGGUUUGACUUACGAGGCCAGUAGCAUGGCGGCAGUGCCCACCAGCUGGAGCUUGCCCCUCAGCACGGACAUGGAUGACAGGAAGCGGUCGAUGUAGUUGACUGCCAGGUAGAGUGUCUCGUUCUGGAGCUUGUACUCCUCACCCACCUCCACCAGCCAGUCCACCAGGAUGGCACGCAUGCUGUUUGUGAUGUCCGGCUGCUUCUUCAUGUAGGCCGCCCUGGGCCGGCUCUUCACCUAGUCACGGAAGGAAGUCUUUACACACCCAGACAGGUGGCAAUGCCGCUUAGGUCGAAGCCUCACCUCCAUUUCCCUCAAGUAGGUGUGAAUCUCAUCAGCGUAUUCCGGAACAUCAGUUACAUUGACAGGCUUGUCCUCACCCUCCAUCAAAGACAUGUCCAUGGGAGAGUCUACACAAGCAAAAACCUUAGUUUGUGAAAGACAGGGGUGGGUUUCAGGAGACAUACCAAAACUCAUGUCCAUGGACGCAGGAAUAUUGAGCGCGGCAAGGGGCUGCCGCAGACGCGUCACAGCAUUGUCCACCUUCAGGGGCGAAGCUUCCUCCACCUCCUGGACUUUGGGGGCCUCCGCGCCCCGGUGCUUCUUGACACACGCGCCAACUGGCUCGUCCACAUGGAUUUGGAACGUGGGCUGCUUUGAGACUUUGCAGGAAUCGUCAUUUUUGCAAGAAAGUGGCUGUGAGGACUCCUGGAAGGGUCGCAAUUGCACAACAGCACAAUUAGUUGGUUUUGUGUUUUAUCGCAAUUUAAUGCAUUUGAGAGAUCACGUGAUCAAAUCAAUGAAACGCAACCUUGAAUGUAUACACAUUUCGAUGCAAAACACAAGAUGUAAAGCGAUUGUGUAAAAAUGGCGGACACAUCGGAUGCGGCCGCCCAAGCAACAA